rnacentral:rRNA from 1 species
UCCUACGGGACGCAGCAGUGGGGAAUAUUGCACAAUGGGGGAAACCCUGACGCAGCGACGCCGCGUGAGUGAAGAAGUAAUUCGUUAUGUAAAGCUCUAUCAGCAGGGAAGAAGAAAUGACGGUACCUGAGUAAGAAGCACCGGCUAAAUACGUGCCAGCAGCCGCGGUAAUACGUAUGGUGCAAGCGUUAUCCGGAUUUACUGGGUGUAAAGGGAGCGCAGGCGGCACGGCAAGCCUGAUGUGAAAGCCCGCGGCCCAACCGCGGGACUGCAUUGGGAACUACCGGGCUGGAGUGCCGGAGAGG